GAUGAAGAACGCAGCGAAAUGCGAUAAGUAAUGUGAAUUGCAGAAUUCAGUGAAUCAUCGAAUCUUUGAACGCACCUUGCGCCCUUUGGCUAUUCCGAAGGGCAUGCCUGUUUGAGUAUCAUGAACACCUCAACUCUCAUGGUUUGCCAUGAUGAGCUUGGACUCUGGGGGUCUUGCUGGCCUAUGGUCAGCUCCUCUCAAAUAAAUCAGCUUGCCAGUGUUUGGUGGCAUCACAGGUGUGAUAACUAUCUACGCUUGUGGUUUUCCAUCAGGUAACCUUCAGUGAUGGAGGUUCGCUGGAGCUCAUAGAUGUCCCUCCUCAGCGAGGACAGCUUUUUGAACGUUUGAUCUCAAAUCAGGUAGGACUACCCGCUGAACUUAAGCAUAUCAAUAAGCGGAGGA
rnacentral:misc_RNA from 1 species